rfam:Rhodnius prolixus Rhodnius_prolixus-3.0.3-3052.1, whole genome shotgun sequence.
AACUAGGUUUUAUUAAAAACUAUUAAAUACUUAUAAGAAAAAGAUUU